GUUAUUAUAUUUGGUAAAUUUAUGUCUGUGAAUUUUUAGGACACGGUUAAUUUCUUGACGCUCUGGCUGCUCUCGGACGAGGUGUGAAAAUCGGAGGUGUUGUCGUCACCCACCUCUUUUCGGUCUUCAUUCGUUCUUGGUUCGGUUUGGCGCGCGCGUGAUGUCGUUGGGAUGCGGCGUUAUGGCUUGAGGCUUGCGGCGAAGCAUCUUGGCUUGGACUUGGUUUUGGUUUGGUCGUCGUCUUCAGGCUACGGACGCCAAUUUGAUGAAACUUGUGGCAAUACACCACUAGUGAGCAUCUGGCGUGUGGAGGCUUAGCGUUUGGACGAGACGGCGACUACAGUAU